UGGCGGACGGGUGAGUAACGCGUGGGUAACCUGCCUCACACAGGGGGAUAACAGUUGGAAACGACCGCUAAUACCGCAUAAGCCAACAGGGGCGCAUGCUCUGGUUGGAAAAGAUUUUAUCGGUGUGAGAUGGACCCGCGUCUGAUUAGCCAGUUGGCAGGGUAACGGCCUACCAAAGCGACGAUCAGUAGCCGGCCUGAGAGGGUGAACGGCCACAUUGGGACUGAGACACGGCCCAAACUCCUACGGAAGGCAGCAG
rnacentral:rRNA from 1 species